UGUCCAAGAAAACGUUGAUUGUCGCCGAAAAGCAACAAGUUUGCAGGUAUGCGACGUAUGCCCUUACUCAUUGUAAACAGUGUCGUUAGCCGCGCCUAGCUAUCGUUACAAAACACACAUUAAUCAGCUUAUUAUUUAAACGACCCCUGGGUACAUAUAGUCAUGCCAUACACCGUUGGAAAGCUUAGAUUACCCCGAUUAAAAGGAGACCACCCACGAGUAAUAUGGUUGCUCGCAGACAAAACGGCGAUAGGUUGACUGAAGUCUACCCAGCAGCUAAAAACGCACCCUCUACGUCUUCCCUUUAUACACAACGACCGUGUUAUGACAAGGUCGAAAUCUUUUCUCUUUCUACAAAAUCGAAACAGCUUAAUACAAACCUUAAAAAAAAGGUCGAAUUAUUAACUAGCAAACGGUGAAGGGGAUACAAUUUACCUGAGUGAAACCACGUGCUGUAAGCUAUUUUCUUUUUCAACUCGAGCUCAUUGGCUGCAAUAGAGUUCCGGGUGUUGACGUUGUUGGGGCGGGGAAAUCGUGGGCACCACCAUUUUGGCAGUAUUCGAUAGUAUUGUUGGUUUAUUUAUUUUUUAACAUUUUUUUGGUGAAGCACUGCUUCACCUGUAGUCUUAUAGAAGCCUCCACUGCUCCAAACUCUAUUUGUGAAACAUGCAGACGGCCUAGUGACACUGCCAGCAGGCAGCAGCAAAGAGAUGUAGCGACCUCGGUUUAUUUCUUCAGCUUUCACAUACACACAAACACGCACACAGGGUGCUUGGUCAUUCUUUUGUUUUGUUUUUUCGUUGUCUGUUAAACCGCCACGUGGGGCGACGUGUCUGGGAACCUCGCCUCUUGGUCUGAGCAUGUGUGGCCAUCGCUUCUCGGCCUUUUGGCUAAGAUCAAGUGUAGUAUCUGUUCUUAUCAGUUUAAUAUCUGAUACGUCCCCUACCCGGGGACCAUAUAUUAAAUUGAUUUUUGGAACUGGGAGAUGGAAAAGGGGCUUGCCCCGUCCACUCCACGCAUCGACCUGGUAUUGCAGUACCUCCAGGACCGGUGCAC